rnacentral:rRNA from 1 species
GAUGAACGCUAGCGGGAGGCUUAACACAUGCAAGUCGAGGGGCAUCACGAGGUAGCAAUACUUUGGUGGCGACCGGCAGACGGGUGAGUAACGCGUAUGCAACCUACCCUGUACAGGGGGAUAACCCGGAGAAAUUCGGACUAAUAUCCCAUAAUAUUAUUUGGAGGCAUCUUUGAAUAAUUAAAGUUCCGGCGGUACGGGAUGGGCAUGCGUAACAUUAGCUGGUUGGUAAGGUAACGGCUUACCAAGGCUUUGAUGUUUAGGGGUCCUGAGAGGGUGGUCCCCCANACUGGUACUGAGACACGGACCAGACUCCUACGGGAGGCAGCAGUGAGGAAUAUUGGUCAAUGGGCGCAAGCCUGAACCAGCCAUCCCGCGUGCAGGAAGACGGCCCUAUGGGUUGUAAACUGCUUUUGUACGGAACGAAAAGGUUUCUAAUUAAUACUAGGAGCUCAUGACGGUACCGUAAGAAUAAGCACCGGCUAACUACGUG